rnacentral:tRNA from 1 species
GGCCCGGUAGCUUAGUUGGUAAAGCGCUCGUCUAGCAUACAAGAGUCCUGGGUUCAAAUCCCAGCCGAGCAC